CACGGCAGCAAAAUCACUGGAGUCCAUGGUUUUUGUCACACACACAGAGCACAGAUUUUUUUGAUUAUGUAGAUUUCUUUUCCUACUGCAGUUUCAUAUGCAAAGCAUGCAUCAGCCACAUCCAUGCUAUCUCCUAAAGCAGUCAUUCUGAAACCCAAUCUGGGGACAGUGCAGACUAAAUAAAAUUUCAUUUUGAUUUGGCCUCCCGCUGCGAAUGGGACUGCUUUGUCUCAGCCGACAGAACCAGCAAGCCAGAAAGCUGAUAUUUAUAAACCAAGAUCAGUUGUAUUGAAGCAGCCAGCCUACUGUGUUUACAUAGCCAAUUCCCUUUAUUAAAUACCUCGAAUGGGACCAACUUGAACAGUACCAGCCUCUUCUCCACAGAGAUGCUGACCUUGAUCAUCAACCCACAAAACCAAUGGACAGCAUCAGUCUCCCUCCAGACAUUGUAGACUACUACUCCCAACACAGGCCACCUGUCUUGAAGAUGUGUAUCUAUAGUCAGGGGAAAGAGCCAUGUGCAAGAGUUUGGCUGGAUCACUACAAAUCUAUCAUGACUCUGGGAAAUCAACCGCUGUGUGAGCUCCUGUCUAUUGAUGAGGGAACACGCCUUCAUUUAAAAGGAACACAUGGAUUGACUCAAGGUGUAUUGUUCUGAAUCUUACCGUUAAGACUUCCUCAACAAGUUACCGACCUUCUGAUUGAGUCUCCUCAUCAGCUGAAAUGUUUACUCCUAUAGAGUUAAUGACAGUGUCUGUGUUAGAGGAUUUGGUCAAGAUGAAAUUAGAUAUUGCAAUGGAGUGCUGAGGACAACAGCUGACACACUUAAAAUGCUUGCUAAAUGUGUACAAGUACACAAGGUCUGUUUUAUUAAUAAAAACCAACAUCUAUGUCA
rnacentral:lncRNA from 13 species